GGAAAGAGGAGCCGCCUAAAGUAGUUCCUGGAAGUGAAAUUUCGUUCUUCAAAAAUGGAGUAUGCCAAGGGGUUGCUUUUACGGAUCUGAACGGAGGUCGCUAUUAUCCUGCAGCCUCCAUGUACACUCUACCUAAUCAACCAAAUUGUGUUGUCAAGUUCAACUUCGGCCCCGAUUUCGAAUGCUUUCCAGAGGACUUUCAAGGCCGCCCUUUGCCACAACCCAUGAUCGAAGUACCUUACCACGGAUUCGACA
rnacentral:misc_RNA from 1 species